UACGUAGGAGGCAAGCGUUAUCCGGAAUGACUGGGCGUAAAGGGUGCGUAGGUGGUUUGGCAAGUUGGUAGCGUAAUCCCGGGGCUCAACCUCGGUGCUACUACCAAAACUGCUGGGCUUGAGUGCAGGAGGGGUGAAUGGAAUUCCUAGUGUAGCGGUGGAAUGCGUAGAUAUUAGGAAGAACACCAGCGGCGAAGGCGAUUCACUGGACUGUAACUGACGUUGAGGCUCGAAAGCGUGGGGAGCAA
rnacentral:rRNA from 1 species